rnacentral:lncRNA from 1 species
UAAACUACGCUGCAUCCGGUGCCUCGAGCCUUGAUCACUCGGCAUUUUCGAUUACAACUCCCCUCAGGGCAUUCCCUCAAUAAAAAAAUAAAUAUAACCUUGGGGCAUUCCCAGAAUCAAACAAUACCUGAAACCUCGAGGCAUUCUCCGACCAAAUGAGUAUAAUUGAUCCAAAUACGAUAAAACAAAAUCAAUCAACAAACAUUCAAAUAUUCAACAAUCCACAAGUCCUAAACUUUUGCCUACCCAGCCUACCGUUUGUCUACCCAUUUCGUCCUAUCAUGAUACUGUCACAUUCAACAACAUCAAUAUUUAUUUCGAAUUAAACCAACAUCGAUAAAUCAAAACUAUCGAUAUCACCCUUAGUAAUCUAGAAUUAUCACCCCCGAAUUCAUUUUUUAACACAAACUCUCCACGCAAAAUUGACUACCCAAAUUCACAUUGUCAUCAAAUUUAUAUCAUCGGCAUUAAUUUUUUACCACGAACAAACAUCAAACAAAACGAUCACAUAAACUUAAAAGAAAAAGAUGAGAGAAUUGAACCUCGAAUUUUCAAUUGAAAUUACUCCUUCUGAUUAAAACCGCGUCCAAAUCUCAAACCAAACCUCAAAUAACGAACAAAAACAAACCUCGAUAUAACCCUUUUUGCUCUUUUUUUUUUCGCCAAGCUGGACCAAAAUCACGAAGACCCAUUUUUUUCAAUGGUUUCCCGAUGGAUAUUCGCCGAAAAGGGAAGGGGUGACUGUUGGAUGUGAUCUGAUCAGAAAAUCGGAGGAAGGGGUGGAUCUGGUGGUCGCCGGCGGGAUCCGGUUGGAAUCGGGACUGGGCGUUGCUGGUGUGUCGCCGGUGGAGGGGAUGUUUACAGCAAGAUUUCGCCGGAAAAUCCAAUGGUGUGGGCUGCUGCUUCCUCACCCUUUUUCUCACGGUUUUCUACAUUCUCCUCUCUCUCUCCGUCUCUCUCUCUAGCGUCUCUCUCACUCUNNNNN